UACGUAGGGCGCAAGCGUGUCCGGAAUUAUUGGGCGUAAAGCGCGUGUAGGCGGUUGUUCAAGUCAGGUGUGAAAGCCUUGAGCUCAACUCAAGAAAUGCACUUGAUACUGGAUGACUAGAGGACCGGAGAGGAUAGUGGAAUUCCCAGUGUAGUGGUGAAAUACGUAGAGAUUGGGAAGAACACCAGUGGCGAAGGCGGCUAUCUGGACGGUUUCUGACGCUAAGACGCGAAAGCGUGGGGAGCAAACAGG
rnacentral:rRNA from 1 species